rnacentral:rRNA from 1 species
GACGAACGCUGGCGGCGUGCCUAAUACAUGCAAGUAGAACGCUGAAGGCGGAGCUUGCUUCUCCGGAUGAGUUGCGAACGGGUGAGUAACGCGUAGGUAACCUGCCUGGUAGCGGGGGAUAACUAUUGGAAACGAUAGCUAAUACCGCAUAAGAGUAGAUGUCGCAUGACAUUUGCUUAAAAGGUGCAACUGCACCACUACCAGAUGGACCUGCGUUGUCUUAGCUAGUUGGUGAGGUAACGGCUCACCAAGGCAACGAUACAUAGCCGACCUGAGAGGGUGAUCGGCCACACUGGGACUGAGACAAGGCCCAGACUCCUACGGGAGGCAGCAGUAGGGAAUCUUCGGCAAUGGACGGAAGUCUGACCGAGCAACGCCGCGUGAGUGAAGAAGGUUUUCGGAUCGUAAAGCUCUGUUGUAAGAGAAGAACGAGUGUGAGAGUGGAAAGUGCACACUGUGACGGUAUCUUACCAGAAAGGGACGGCUAACUACGUG